UACGGAGGGUGCAAGCAUUGAUCGGAAUUACUGGGCGUAAAGGGCGCGUAGGCGGCCUAGGAAGUCAGGUGUGAAAUUCCAGAGCUCAACUCUGGAGCGGCACUUGAAACUUUUAGGCUAGAGUACAGUUAGGGAAAACGGAAUUCCACGUGUAGCGGUGAAAUGCGUAGAUAUGUGGAAGAACACCGGUGGUGAAGACGGUUUUCUGGGCUGUGACAGACGCUGAGGCGCGAGAGCUAGGGGAGCAAAC
rnacentral:rRNA from 1 species